rnacentral:rRNA from 1 species
GAUGAACGCUGGCGGCGUGCCUAAUACAUGCAAGUCGAGCGAACAGACGAGGAGCUUGCUCCUCUGACGUUAGCGGCGGACGGGUGAGUAACACGUGGAUAACCUACCUAUAAGACUGGGAUAACUUCGGGAAACCGGAGCUAAUACCGGAUAAUAUAUUGAACAGCAUGGUUCAAUAGUGAAAGACGGUUUUGCUGUCACUGAUAGAUGGAUCCGCGCCGCAUUAGCUAGUUGGUAAGGUAACGGCUUACCAAGGCAACGAUGCGUAGCCGACCUGAGAGGGUGAUCGGCCGCACUGGAACUGAGACACGGUCCAGACUCCUACGGGAGGCAGCAGUAGGGAAUCUUCCGCAAUGGGCGAAAGCCUGACGGAGCAACGCCGCGUGAGUGAUGAAGGUCUUCGGAUCGUAAAACUCUGUUAUUAGGGAAGAACAAAUGUGUAAGUAACUAUGCACGUCUUGACGGUACCUAAUCAGAAAGCCACGGCUAACUACGUG